rnacentral:rRNA from 1 species
UGGGGGAUAUUGCACAAUGGGCGAAAGCCUGAUGCAGCGACGCCGCGUGGGGGAUGAAGGCCUUCGGGUUGUAAACUUCUUUUGCUCUGAACAAGGCAUGCCUUUGGGGUGUGUUGAGUGUAGGGGUUGAUUAGCGCCGGCUAACUACGUGCCAGCAGCCGCGGUAAUACGUAGGGCGCGAGCGUUGUCCGGAAUUAUUGGGCGUAAAGGGCUUGUAGGUGGCUGGUUGCGUCUGUCGUGAAAGCUCAUGGCUUAACUGUGGGUUUGCGGUGGGUACGGACUGGCUUGGGUGCAGUAGGGGAGGCUGGAAUUCCUGGUGUAGCGGUGGAAUGCGCAGAUAUCAGGAGGAAUACCGGUGGCGAAGGCGGGUCUCUGGGCUGUUACUGACGCUGAGGAGCGAAAGCGUGGGGAGCGAACAGG